AUGUGUUUUAUGACGCCUCGCUCUUGUUUUCCAGGCUGCCCCCCCCCGCCGGCAAGCGUCCCGCCGAGGACUUGCAAAUCAAGACGGGGGAAAAAAAACGAGAGAUGGGGCGGACAGUCAUUUUCGCAGCACCACCCUUCUCCCCGUCUCCCUGCGUUAGACGAGGACAUUGCACCACCACCUCUGCCGGGAUACUGGAGCAUCUGCUCCCCUUCUGCCACCGGUCGUCUCCAGAGAGUUUUUUUCCCCGAUGCUCAUGAGGGGGUUCAGUGUGAACUGGGUCAAAUUGCUUCCUGGCGCAGAUGUUUGGGUUCAUGCAACAACAACAUGCUGAGGAAAUACUGUGCCAUAACCAGAGUGCGAUCAGGAGCGAGCUCUCUUCCAGGCGACAACACCGUCUGGUCUGAUACCUCGCGUGCGGUUAAGAGCCGAUAUCGGCUAAGAUGGCUCCUGUCGCUGAUGUCGCGGCGUGGGCGGAGUCGCUCGACCAGCUUCUGGAGUGUCAAAGUGAGGCCGCUCACGGAUUUAGCCGUCUCGCUCGCUCUAAUGUCAAGCGCCGCUCGCCUCAGGUCUGCUCAACCCGGCCAAUUCUCCGCCGCUCGCUCGGCCCCACGUAUCAUCAUCUUCAAUCGCCCUCCGGCUUCUUAA
rnacentral:lncRNA from 1 species